rnacentral:rRNA from 1 species
GAUUCUGGCUCGAGGACGAACGCUGGCGGCGUGCCUAACACAUGCAAGUCGAGCGAGGAGAUCCUCGGGAUGAUCCUAGCGGCGGACGGGUGAGUAACACGUGGGCAACCUGCCUCAUAGAGAGGAAUAGCCUUCCGAAAGGGAGAUUAAUACCUCAUAACAUUGCAGUUUCGCAUGGAACAGCAAUUAAAGGAGCAAUCCGCUAUGAGAUGGGCCCGCGGCGCAUUAGCUAGUUGGUGAGGUAACGGCUCACCAAGGCGACGAUGCGUAGCCGACCUGAGAGGGUGAUCGGCCACAUUGGGACUGAGACACGGCCCAGACUCCGUACGGGAGGCAGCAGGUGGGGAAUAUUGCACAAUGGGGGAAACCCUGAUGCAAGCAACGCCGCGUGAGUGAUGACGGCCUUCGGGUUGUAAAGCUCUGUCUUCAGGGACGAUAAUGACGGUACCUGAGGAGGAAGCCACGGCUAACUACGUGCCAGCAGCCGC